rnacentral:tRNA from 1 species
AGGGUUAUAGCUCAGUGGUAGAGCACAUGCUUAGAAUGCAUGAGGUCCUGGGUUCAAUCCUCGGUACCUCCA